UUAUAUAAGAGGUCCAGCCUGCCCAGUGACCAUGUUUAACGGCCGCGGUAUCCUAACCGUGCGAAGGUAGCGUAAUCACUUGUUCUUUAAAUGAGGACUAGUAUGAACGGCAUCACGAGGGUUAUACUGUCUCCUUUUUCCAAUCAGUGAACCUAAUCUCCCCGUGAAGAAGCGGGAAUAAGAUUAUAAGACGAGAAGACCCUAUGGAGCUUAAAACAACACAGCACCUGCUAAAAAAAUUUAACAAUUUCAGAAUCUUUCAUUUUUUAAGCACUAUGACUGCAAGUUUUUGGUUGGGGUGACCACGGAGCAUAACAUAACCUCCAUGUUGAAAGAAUAUUUUUCUAAGCCAAAAAUUACACUUUUAAGCAUCAAUAAAUUGACAUCUAUUGACCCAAUAUAUUUGAACAACGAACCAAGUUACCCUAGGGAUAACAGCGCAAUCCACUUCAAGAGCUCCUAUCGACAAGUGGGUUUACGACCUCGAUGUUGGAUCAGGGUUUCCCAGUGGUGCAGCCGCUACUAAAGGUUCGUUUGUUCAACGAUUAAAACCCU
rnacentral:rRNA from 1 species